CUGGAGAGCUGUGUUCUUUCUGUAUUUCCUCUUGGAGGUUAUGGCACCCAUGGAGUUUGCUAUGAACGAGGUUUGGUCACUUCGAUUAGAUACGCGAAUAUGACGCAGGGUGCAGAGAUGAGUAGUGCAUGAUGCAGAAGGACGAAAAUUCGGCAUGGGCAGAUUCAGGGAAGAGAUAAUUAUAGAGUGGUCAAGAAGAGAAGAAUAAGCUGGAAAGGGAAGAAAUGGUGGAAUCCGGCCGGCGCUUCUGGUGAUUUGGCAUAUGAGCAGUGCUCGAGUGAGCUGGGAUGAUUCGAGCUUACCAGUAGAGUGAUGGAGACUCUAUGUCAAAAUGUAAAUUAAGGACCACUUUGGAAUGUUAUUUUUUGGUCAAAUAGUUGGCCUGAUUUGUAUGCAAAUAUAUGGAAUACAGAAAAAGGAUUACACUUUGCAUGAUGGCAACAUUUCAAACACUUGGUCGUAUAAGAAAUUUUAACACAAAAUGGAGGUU